GCCUCAGUGGCUCAGCUGGUAGAGCGGCGGUUUUGUAAACCGCAAGCCGGGAGUUCGAAUCUCCCCUGAGGCU
rnacentral:tRNA from 1 species